AUUGAACGCUGGCGGCAGGCCUAACACAUGCAAGUCGAACGAGUGGCGGACGGGUGAGUAAUGUCUGGGAAACUGCCUGAUGGAGGGGGAUAACUCCUGGAAACGGUAGCUAAUACCGCAUACCAUCGGAUGUGCCCAGAUGGGAUUAGAUAGCAGGUGGGGUAACGGCGCACCUAGGCGACGAUCCCCAGCUGGGCUGAGAGGAUGACCAGCCACACGGGAACUGAGACACUGUCCAGACUCCUACGGGAGGCAGCAGUGGGGAAUAUUGCACAAUGGGCGCAAGCCUGAUACAGCCAUGCCGCGUGUAUGAAGAAGGCCUUCGGGUUGUAAAGUACUUUCAGCGGGGAGGUGUUACCCGCAGAAGAAGCACCGGCUAACUCCGUGCCAGCAGCCGCGGUAAUAC
rnacentral:rRNA from 1 species